AUAUGCAAUCUGACUCAUUUUCUUCACAAAGUGUCCGGACACCAUUUAGAGCCGUCCGGACACUUAUCGGGAAAUUGGGUUUUAAAACAUGUUUAACAUUUCUGGGUUCAUUAUAUUCCACUGGUUUUACAGAAAUAGCCGAGAGAGAGACAGAGUGUGGAGAGAAGGUGAUUUUGAAGGAGAUCAAGGAGAAGAAAGCUUGAAUCAAGAGUUUGGAACUUGUGUAAGCUUGGUUUUCAAGAUUUCUUCAAGAUUGAGAUUUGAGCUUGGAUUGAAGUGUGGAGAUAGGAGGAGAGGUGGCUGUGUUAGGGUUUGAAGAUUUGGGCAAGGUUGAUUGGGCUUGGAAGAGUGGUGGAGUUUUACCCAAACGAGGUGAUAUAGGUACUAGCGCUAGUGCUCCGACCACGGAUCAGCAGGGAGGCGCGUGACGUGGAUGGCCUGGACUAGUGUUGGUGUGGUGGUUUGCUUUUAUUAUGUUUAAGUAGUGUUUAUGUUAUGGAUGAAUGAUUAUUUUGGUUGGUUAGGUCUGAGGCCUUGGUAUGUACAUGUGUAUAGGAUUUAUGAUUUGGGAUGAUAUGGCCUGAGGCCCUGGAUGAUUAUUUUGGUGGUAUGGGAAUUGUGUGGUUUAAAUUGUUAUAUUUUGUGCAGGGAGCAUUCUCCGAAAUACGGGGAGGUGUUGUCGGAUUUUUGUUUAAA